rnacentral:rRNA from 1 species
GAAAUACCACCCUUGUAUGUUUGAUGUUCUAACUUAGCCCCGUUAUCCGGGGUGAGGACAGUGCCUGGUGGGUAGUUUGACUGGGGCGGUCUCCUCCCAAAGAGUAACGGAGGAGCACGAAGGUGGGCUAAUCACGGUUGGACAUCGUGAGGUUAGUGCAAUGGCAUAAGCCCGCUUAACUGCGAGAAUGACGGUUCGAGCAGGUGCGAAAGCAGGUCAUAGUGAUCCGGUGGUUCUGUAUGGAAGGGCCAUCGCUCAACGGAUAAAAGGUACUCCGGGGAUAACAGGCUGAUACCGCCCAAGAGUUCAUAUCGACGGCGGUGUUUGGCACCUCGAUGUCGGCUCAUCACAUCCUGGGGCUGAAGUCGGUCCCAAGGGUAUGGCUGUUCGCCAUUUAAAGUGGUACGCGAGCUGGGUUUAGAACGUCGUGAGACAGUUCGGUCCCUAUCUGCCGUGGGCGUUGGAAGAUUGAAGGGGGCUGCUCCUAGUACGAGAGGACCGGAGUGGACGAACCUCUGGUGUUCGGGUUGUGUCGCCAGACGCAUUGCCCGGUAGCUAAGUUCGGAAUCGAUAACCGCUGAAAGCAUCUAAGCGG